GUGGGGCAGAUGGACCAUGGAGUGUGUGUCUGAGUGGAGGGAGAUGGUGGAUCACGGCAGGGCUGGUGGCGAAGAGGACACUGGGAAAUCUGUCAAGGCUGCCCUGGUGAGCGGAUCAGGGAGAGACCACCGGUUUUUCUAUAUCUUCUAAAAUGUCUGCAAUGACUGUAUGCCUGUGUAAUCAGCCUUCUGCUUCGUGCCAUGUGUCUGUUGGAUGAUGGAAGAGACCUUGCACGCACCCGAUGCCUGUGGUCUGAGAAGCAGAGCUCGGUGAGGACCACCAGGAAAGGAAGUGUGGAUAGAGCAAUUUCAAGUUUUGAGCAUCAAAUGGAAUUUUCACUGGCUUGCGGGUAGUGUGGAAAUUAUUGAGAACAUAAAAACAACCAACAAAAACCAGAAGCUAUCCUUCUACUUCUGCAUUAUUUAAGUAAUAUGAGAUUACUCAGUCCAGAAGUUAUACUGAAACCUAAAAACAUAGUUAUUUGUGAAUAUAAUUUAGUAGAUUAAAUAUCCUUACUAUCAAGAUGAUACAGUGAAAGAGACAUGAAAUAUACCUGUUCAAAUACCAUGGGUAGUUGGCAUACUAUAGACAUGUAGGGCAGAGUGAGAGAUUCGGUUCUACAAAGCAUGACUUUUAUCUUGGCUUGCUAACUUGAGCUGAAAAUGCAGUGAUUUAUUUAGCUUCAGAACACAUACCUCUAAGUAGUCGGUGGAGCAGUUUGUGUGAUGUUCCAAUUCAAAGGCUAAAAACGUAUAAUUCACAGUGUUUCCAGUUGUUGCUCGGAUGGUCCAGUUGCAACGCUGAUUGACAGAAUAGGGAUUUGGAUAAUUUAUACUCUCUAAGAUGCCAUAUGUCUGAUUCACAAUCACCACGUUCUCACACGCUGGAAAAAAUAAUAAUGAUUGUUAAGAACCACCGUCAUAUAUAUCAUAAUUGCUCCAAGAUGUGUGUGAGAUUUUCCUUUAGGAAAACAGCUAGGUUAAAAAGAAACCUAUGGGGCUUCCCUGGUGGU